rnacentral:rRNA from 1 species
UUAGUCGGUCUCGGAGCAAACGAAGUGAAGCAUGUUAUUUAAUACGACAAUACGCGUAUACCCUUACCAGACCUUGCAUAUCUAGCUCUUUUUAUUUUUUUAAUUUGAGUGAGUAUAUUUUUAAUCUUUUUUGAAAAUAAUACGCAGAUACAGGUGUUGCAGGCUGUCGUC